rnacentral:rRNA from 1 species
GGAUUAGGCAUGCAAGUCGAACGAGGGAGUGUUUCGAAAGGGACACAAACCGAGUGGCGUAAGGGCGAGUAAUGCAUUGAUAACCUGCCUUUGAGAUGGGGAUAACAACGUCUCGCAAGAGACUUCCGAAAGGGUUGCUAAUACCCAAUAAGACUGUUGGUGCGGAGGUGCUGAGAGUCAAAGGUCUGGAGUGAAAGCUCCAUUUGCUCAGAGAGGGGUCAAUGUCCUAUCAGCUAGUUGGUAGGGUAAAGGCCUACCAAGGCGAAGACGGGUAGCCGGCCUGAGAGGGUGGUCGGCCGCAUUGGGACUGAGACACUGCCCAGACUCCUACGGGAGGCUGCAGUCGAGAAUCUUUCGCAAUGCCCGCAAGGGUGACGAAGCGACGCCGCGUGUGGGAAGAAGGCCUUCGGGUUGUAAACCACUGUCGGGAGUUAAGAAAGGUGUACGGGUAAAUAGUCCGUGCAUUUGACAAAAGCUCCGGAGGAAGCCACGGCUAACUCUGUGCCAGCAGCCGCGGUAAUACAGAGGUGGCAAGCGUUGUUCGGAAUUAUUGGGCGUAAAGAGCACGUAGGCGGCCCUGCAAGUCAGCUGUGAAAGCCUCCUGCUUAACGGGAGAAGUGCAGUUGAAACUACGGGGCUAGAGUGCGGAAGGGGAGAGUGGAACUUCUGGUGGAGCGGUGAAAUGCGUAGAUAUCAGAAGGAACACCGGCGGCGAAAGCGGCUCUCUGGUCCGUAACUGACGCUGAGGUGCGAAAGCCAGGGGAGCAAACGGGAUUAGAUACCCCGGUAGUCCUGGCCGUAAACGAUGGGCACUCGGUAGAGGGGUUUUGAAUAUCUCUCUGCCUGAGCUAACGCGUUAAGUGCCCCGCCUGGGGAGUACGGCCGCAAGGCUAAAACUCAAAAGAAUUGACGGGGGCUCGCACAAGCGGUGGAGCAUGUGGCUUAAUUCGAUGCAACACGAAGAACCUUACCGGGGCUCGACAUGACAGAAGUAGGAGUCCGAAAGGACAACCAACGGUAUCCAGUCCGUAGCUGUCACAGGUGUUGCAUGGCUGUCGUCAGCUCGUGUCGUGAGACGUUGGGUUGAGUCCCCUAACGAGCGAAACCCUUGUCUUUAGUUGCCAACGGGUCAAGCCGGGCACUCUAAAGAGACUGCUGUCGUUAAGACGGAGGAAGGUGGGGAUGACGUCAAGUCAUCAUGGCCCUUAUGUCCCGGGCUGCACACGUGCUACAAUGGUCGGUACAAAGGAUGCUAAAUCGCAAGAUGGAGCGAAACCCAGAAAGCCGGUCCCAGUUCAGAUUGGAGGCUGAAACCCGCCUCCAUGAAGGAGGAAUCGCUAGUAAUCGCGGAUCAGCUAUGCCGCGGUGAAUAUGUUCCCGAGCCUUGUACACACCGCCCGU